rnacentral:rRNA from 1 species
UACGUAGGGUGCGAGCGUUAAUCGGAAUUACUGGGCGUAAAGCGUGCGCAGGCGGUUUUGUAAGCCAGGUGUGAAAUCCCCGGGCUCAACCUGGGAAUGGCAUUUGGGACUGCAAGGCUGGAGUGCGGCAGAGGAGACUGGAAUUCCUGGUGUAGCAGUGAAAUGCGUAGAUAUCAGGAGGAACACCGAUGGCGAAGGCAGGUCCUGCUGGCUGACACUGACGCUCAUGCACGAAAGCGUGGGGAGCAAACAGG